CCCUUAGAUGUUCUGGGCCGCACACGCGCUACACUGACGAAUGCAACGAGCUUAUAACCUUGGCCGAAAGGUCUGGGUAAUCUCCAAAUUUCGUCGUGAUGGGGAUAGAUUAUUGCAAUAAUUAAUCUUCAACGAGGAAUGCCUAGUAAGCGCAAGUCAUCAGCUUGCGUUGAUUACGUCCCUGCCCUUUGUACACACCGCCCGUCGCUCCUACCGAUUGAAUGGUCCGGUGAAGCGUUCGGACCGUGGCCUUUGGACGGUUCGCCGUCUGUUGGCUGCGGGAAGUUCGUUAAACCUUAUCAUUUAGAGGAAGGAGAAGUCGUAACA
rnacentral:rRNA from 1 species